GUGAGAAUACAGUAGAAAAAUGUAUCCAGGAAGGAAAUAAGUGCAUUGGGGAAUUGAAUGAAAAUGAUAAAAAUCACUCACAUUUCUUUUUGUAAUAAUUAAAUAUGAAGUGGAGUGGAGAGUGGCAGAUGAAUUCUAAUAGUAAUUGAAUUAGCACUUAGGAGUUAUCUUAUCUGCAUUGCCACAAUUCAAAAGUUCCACAGUUGUUUUCUCUCAGUCCGUAUUAUACUAAUUACGCCUCUCAUCCUUCCUGGUGUUGACAGAAGUAGUUAGUAUGCAUGGAGAGGCACCCAGCUCUCCUAAAGGGGUCUGGUCAGUACUGACUCCACAUCCUCCUUGAAAAUGCCAUCUGCUUCUUUCCUACACAGCCAUGGGGGACCCUUCCCUCCCGCUUUUGGAAAAAAGAACAUAUGUUUCUAUUUGAUAUGAUAGAUGGUCAGGGAGAAGGGGCAGGCCCGGAAGUGCAUCAGCAUCCCCUUCUGGGACGCGCUCGGCUACCGCCGUCUAGCAAGUUUGUCUUGGUUUCUGUGUUUGAGAAAAUCCUGAACUUCAGUUCUUGUCAACUCCAUCUCCAAAAGUAUCUGAUUCUCUGAAAGGAACUGUGCCUUCAUCAUUCCAUAUGACCCUGACGGCUGUGCCCUCCUCAGCCAGUGAGAGAACCCGUGACUCCUGGUAAUUUAAAAAUAAAUACUUCUGCAAGUGAACCAAUAGAAAUAUUUCACUGUCAUUGAACAGAAAGCUAAAAGCCUAAUUACUAGAUCAGAGACUAGGAAAGGAAGAGAAGGAAGGACGUUCAGCGAGGGAGAAGGACUUCAGGAGCCAAUAUUAAUGACAUCAGAGGCAAAUGCUCUUCUCUUCAGCCCUAGGCUUGCAACCUGGUGGUAUUUGAAUGUAUUUGCUCCAAAGAAGCUGCUGGUCUUAUGACAGCUUUGCAAUGUGGAAUGAGCUGAAAGCAGGUUCAACUGACCCAGUUACAACAACAUCCCUGAAUCUGGAGAUUCUUCUGGCUUCUGAUGGUUGCUUUUCUUAUAUUGUGGAAAAGUCCACAACAUGGCUAGAAAAAGAGAAAAACAUCUUUGACCAAGUCUGCACUAGAGGAACUUGCCAGAGAUCUUUUACUAUUUUCUUCUUUUGUCCUGAGCAAGAGAGUCAGGGAUAACAAACCAUCAGGAAUGUAUUUGUGACAGUUGACUAUUAACAGUUGACUAUUCCAGCUAAUGUUGAUGGAAGAGCAACAAUGGUACUUCUAAACUUUCUAUUUUGUAGUGGAUUGUAGGUGGCAGUCUGAUCAAAAGAGAUAGCAGAGGAAUUGUGUGAUCCUAUUUGGCUCAGACGAUAAAGCGUUUGUCUGCAAUGCAGGAGACCUGGGUUCGAUCCCUGGGUUGGGAAGACCCCCUGGAGAAGGAAAUGGCAGCCCACCCCAUUAUUCUUGCCUGGAAAAUCCCAUGGAUGGCGGAGCCUGGUAGGCUACUGUCCACGGGGUCGCAAAGAGUCGGACACAACUGAGCAAAGGGAAAAAGAAGAAGAUUGUUUUAGUAGUAAGACUGUAUGUCUAUGAGGGGAUAACACCAGUUGGCCUAAAGGAGAUUAUAGACAGUUGUGAAAGUCUUCCACUCUUACCCUUUGUCACUUCUAAAAUGCACUGCUAGUUUGGUGACCAUUUUGAAAGGUUACUCUUUGAUUGUUUUUAUAUUUCACGAUAUGUAAUAAUU
ensembl:lncRNA